rnacentral:misc_RNA from 1 species
GGCGGAGCGCAGGCUUAUGGGUGGAGCUCGUAUCAGCUCUAGAUAGAUGUGGAAUAAUAGAGACAGCUGCAAGAUGUAGCUCGUUAUCUUUCAACGCACGUGUAUCUGUGUAUGCAAAAAGAACAAAUUUGUCUCUAUCCUCUUCCUGCUUCGACUCAUUGCCAUGUGUUUCGAAGAUGCUUCCUGCAUCGCAUAACGAAUGAUUAGACCAGGUCCCACGCAGAUUGGCUCGUAAUGGCGCUCGAAUGAACAUCAAGAA